rnacentral:rRNA from 1 species
CCUACGGGCGGCAGCAGUGGGGGAUAUUGCACAAUGGGGGAAACCCUGAUGCAGCGACGCCGCGUGUGGGAAGACGGUCCUCUGGAUUGUAAACCACUGUCCCCAGGGACGAAGAUGACGGUACCUGGGGAGGAAGCUCCGGCUAACUACGUGCCAGCAGCCGCGGUAAUACGUAGGGAGCGAGCGUUGUCCGGAAUUACUGGGGGAAAAGGGAGCGUAGGCGGGACUGCAAGUUGGGUGUCAAAUCUACCGGCUCAACCGGUAGCCGCACUCAAAACUGCAGUUCUUGAGUGAAGUAGAGGCAGGCGGAAUUCCUAGUGUAGCGGUGAAAUGCGUAGAUAUUAGGAGGAACACCAGUGGCGAAGGCGGCCUGCUGGGCUUUGACUGACGCUGAGGCUCGAAAGUGUGGGGAGCAAACAGGAUUAGAUACCCCAGUAGUC